GGCUCAGGAUGAACGCUAGCGGCAGGCCUAACACAUGCAAGUCGAACGGUAACAUGAGUAGCAAUACUUGAUGACGAGUGGCGCACGGGUGCGUAACGCGUAUGCAACUUACCUCUAACUGGAGAAUAGCCUUCCGAAAGGAAGAAUAAUACUCCAUAAUAUUACGAUGUGGCAUCACAUUGUUCUUAAAGCUUCGGCGGUUAGAGAUGGGCAUGCGUCUGAUUAGCUUGUUGGUGAGGUAACGGCUCACCAAGGCAACGAUCAGUAGGGGGCCUGAGAGGGUUAUCCCCCACACUGGUACUGAGACACGGACCAGACUCCUACGGGAGGCAGCAGUGAGGAAUAUUGGUCAAUGGACGAAAGUCUGAACCAGCCAUGCCGCGUGCAGGAUGAAUGCCCUAUGGGUUGUAAACUGCUUUUAUAUAGGAAUAAACCCCUUUACGUGUAAAGGGCUGAAGGUACUAUAAGAAUAAGGACCGGCUAACUCCGUG
rnacentral:rRNA from 1 species